GCUACGGCCACACCGGCCUGAGUACGCCUGAUCUCGUCCGAUCUCGGAAGCUAAGCAGGGUCGGGCCUGGUUAGUACUGGAUGGGAGACCGCCUGGGAAUACCAGGUGCUGUAAGCU
rnacentral:rRNA from 1 species